GGAAUAUUGCACAAUGGGCGCAAGCCUGAUGCAGCGAUGCCGCGUGAGGGAAGAAGGUUUUCGGAUUGUAAACCUCUGUCAUCGGGGACGAAAAUGACGGUACCCGAGAAGGAAGCUCCGGCUAACUACGUGCCAGCAGCCGCGGUAAUACGUAGGGAGCAAGCGUUAUCCGGAAUUACUGGGUGUAAAGGGAGUGUAGGCGGGACUGCAAGUCAGAUGUGAAAUAUGCCGGCUCAACUGGCAGACUGCAUUUGAAACUGUGGUUCUUGAGUGAAGUAGAGGUAAGCGGAAUUCCUAGUGUAGCGGUGAAAUGCGUAGAUAUUAGGAGGAACAUCAGUGGCGAAGGCGGCUUACUGGGCUUUAACUGACGCUGAGGCUCGAAAGCGUGGGGAGCAAACA
rnacentral:rRNA from 1 species